AGAUCCUUCUGUCUCUGAUCUCUGAUCUCUGACCUGCGUUCUUAGCUGGGACGUCGAGUUCUCCCAGGAUAAUUAUCGACCAGGAAGGAGUAGCCACUAUUCAUGCCAUUGUCAAAACCUCAUGGCAACAAAACUUCCAGGGCUGGAAUUGCAAAGAUGAUUACAAAGGGGAGCUCCACAAUCAGCUAGAGUCAGAUGAUUAUAAGUCCCUGGAAUGAUGAUGCCACAAGAUGGAAGGAGUCUAGCUACAUGAUUCAUUGCAUGGGUGUUCCAAGAUAAUGAAUACUUCCAUAGCAACAAAAGUCUGACAAUAAACGGUUACCUUGAUUUUCACAUUUUCAAAGAAAAAUCCCUCAAUGGCAACUAGACCAGAAGUCUCAACACUGAAUAUGCAAUAAUGGCUACAAGUUACAGGAUAUCAAAGUGGAGUGUGAACCAGCCAGGAGGAGAACGAAUAACACCCAAAGACAAAAAAGGACUUGUUGUCUUUUCUGGGGAAAGGGUUAGUGUGCUUUUCAGUUGCAUGUGAGAUAGUUGUAGCAUAGUAGGAAGACAUAUGACUUUGUUAUUGUUAUUUCAUAUGAAGUAUGGUUUAAGGAGAUAUGUAUAGAUGCCAAGUUAGCAAGAAUUGGACCGUGGUAUCUUGUCAACUUGACUAGGUUGAAUUACAUUUUUCAGAAUUCUAUUUCAUGUAAGUUUUCCAUUAGGGAGGGUCAGGAGAAAGACCUUCUUUUAAAAGACUAUGGGGCAGAAUGAUAUAUUUAAAUAUCUACAUGUAGGUAGAUAGGUAGAUAGAUAAACAUACAGACAGAAAUAUCUCUGUCUUUGUUCAGAUAGAAUAGAUAUCUGAACAGAGAUAGUUCAGAUAGUUCACAUAUCUGAACAGAGAUAGAGAUAUCUCUGAAUAUAUCCACAUAUAGAUAUAUUUAUAUCUAUCUUCCCUUUCUAACUACCAGAGCUAUGAACUCAAGAUUUAGUAUAAAUGUGAUGAAAACAGUCUUACAGAAACUGCCUAACCAGAUCAGCUCCACAAUUGUUCUAUACAGUCAAAUCCCUACAAUAAAUCAUUUUACAAAUCUUUCUUUUUUUGUAGAUUUUACAAAAUCGUACAACAAAUCUUUAGAUUUAUAGAUCCUACAACAAAUCCUUUUAGAUCUAUAGAUCUUGUAGUGGUUUUGCUUCUCUAAUUGAACCCUGAUAUAAUGUAUUCCAAAUGCGGAGCCAAUAGAAUUUGCUAACAUAUUGGAUUUAGGGUACAAGAGAAAGAAAGAGGUCAAAAAUGACUUCAAGGUGUCAUUUGGAAACCAGAAACUAGAAGACUGAGAAACCAGAGAGUGAGAGGGCUGAAAUUGAAUGGGUCUAAGGGAGAAAAUUAAAAAUGUGUAGCAAUGUUAUAUUUAAAAUACCUACUAGACAUCUAGAUGGGGGUGUCAGGUAAGCACCUGGGUUUACAAGUCUAGAGGCUUCAGUGAAGAGCACUUAACUAAAGAAAAAAUGGGAAGUCACCCCAAUAUCAUAGAUAAUGCUAAGGUUGUGGAAAUGGAUGUGGGCACCUAGGAAGUGAAUAUAGAAAAAGAAAGAAAAUAAUCUAAGAAUGAAAAAAUGAAAGAAGAAAAAGAAUUAGAAAAAUGAAUAGGAUUCAUCAGAGAUUAAGAAGGAGUAGCCAAUACGGUAGAUAAAACGGUACCUAGCUAUGUCAAAUGUUCCUGAUAGAUGAAGACUAAAAAUAUAACAUUGAAUUUAGCAAUGGAGAGGUCACUUCUGACUUUGAGUGGAACAACUUUAAGUAGAGUGAUGGAGGCGAAAGCUUAACUAGAGCUGACUCAUUAGAAAAUGAGAGGAGAGGAAAGUGGAGACUAAAAAUGCAGUCCACUUUUCUCAGAAAUUCUAGUGUCAAGAGUAGCAGGGAAACGGUAGAAGCUGGUGGGAGAUAUGGGAUAUAAAACACCUAUAUUUUUAGGUGGGAAAUGUUACAGUAUGUUUAUAUGCUGAUGUAUCAGGCCGUUCUUGCAUUGCUAUAAGGAAAUAACUGAGACAGGGUUAUUUAUAAGAAAAGGGGUUUAAUCAGCUUAUGGUUCUGCAGACUGUACAGGAAGCAUAGUACUGUCAUCUCCUAAGUUUCUAAGGAGGCCUCAGGAAGCUUACAAUCAUGGCAGAAGAUGAAGGGAGACCAGGCACAUCACACAGCAAAAGGAGGAGCAAGUGAGAGAGCCAGUGGGUCAAGAGAGGUGCCACACACUUUUAAAUGACCAGACCUCCUGAGAGUUCACUAUCACAAGAACAGCACAAAAAGGAUGGUGCUAAACCAUUCAUGAGAAAUCUGCCCCUGUGACCACCUCCGGCUGGCCCCACUUCCAACACUGGGGAUUACAAUUCAACAUGAAAUGUGGGCAGGGAUGAAUGUACAAAGUAUAUCAGCUGAUAUAAAUGAUUAAGUAGAUCAAUAAAAGAAAUUAAUGAUUGGGGAAAACUGCUAAAGCAAUGCCCUUGGAAAGAUGAAUGGGAUCUAGAGCACAAGUAGAUAGGUCUUGGAUUGGAAUGUAGGCUGUUUACGUGUAAAUGAAAGAAAGGCAGUUAUAUGAGUUUAGGUAUAGAUGGAUUAGUAGAUUUGGUAAUGGGAAUCUGUGGAAGUUCUUUGCUGAUUACUUCUAUUUUCUCAGUGAAGAAAGGAACAAGGUGUUCAGCUAAUAACGUGGUUUGGGAAGGGAGUUUGAAAAGAGAAGAUAAAGAAAUACUCAUCUAGGAGAGUAGGAGUGUGGAUGGACUAGAAAAAAGGUAAGAUCGCUGGGAAGCACUUGAGUUUGGUAGACAUGGAUUUAAGGACAAAGCCUAUCUCAGUACAUUUCACUGUGGAGAGAAGCAGGACACAACUCCUUCGUGCAAAGUCUGAUCUGAAAAAAAAAAAAAAAAAAAGAGAGAGAACAGAAGGAGUAGAGCCAACCAUAUUCAAUUUCUUCUUCAAAGAAAGUGGUCAGAUAAGUCAACCUACUUCCAGUACAGAGAAGAAAGCCAAAGGACAGGGAAAAGCUGGAAGUAUCUCUUUUCUGGGCUUUUUCUCCUUGGGAAUGAAAUAGUUGAAAAUGUCCUUCCUUCUAUGAAAACAUGAAAAGGAGGGGUAGGUGUCCCCCUAACGUGUGGCAUCGUUUAAUAAGGCCCCAAUGGGAUAUGCAUUCUGCACACUGUACUACAGGAUUUCUUUAAAAUACUUCUUAAAGAACCCAUCCAAUUUUAUGCAAGUAUUCAAAAGUCUCUAAUGGGAUUCAUUUUAAUUAUUGUAACAGAAAAAGAAAUUCUUGGUCCCCAACAUGGAAAUCCAAGAUGCAAGGAAAUCAUAGGCUCUGAAUCACCUGGGGAAGAAACCGCUGCAGACCAAAUUGCAUCUUAGAUCCAUUAAAUCAGAAACUUGGAUUGCUGGAUUCAGGUACAAGUAUUUUUAAAGCUCCCUAAGUGAUUAUAAUGUAUAGCCAAAGUUGAGAACUACUGCUUUGGAGCCACUGGUCUAAUGGAACAAAUUGCAUUGAUUUACUUCCCUUAAUAUUACUAUGUAUAACUAACUAAAUAAGAUGUAUUAUUUUAUGUUUCUUCUUAAUAUUGGCAUAAACCAAUAAAUUAGUGUAUGUAUGUUUCAUUGUUAGAAGAAUAUAUGAAUAUUAUUUUUGUACCAGAUAUUCCAUCAGGAGCAGAAACGUUCACAGAAAAGGGGCACAAAUUUUAGGGGCAGAGUAAGAUGUGAACCAUACAAUCAGCUCUGAGCAUCCUCCUCUGCCCAUUUGCCUCAUAUGGUUUUAAGGAUGGUAAGUGCAGAUAAAGCUGUGAAUGAGAAGAGGAACAGAGCAGUCAUCAUGGAACAUGAGAGAGAAGCUAUGUAUUCAAGGCCCCAGAACCACAAGUAGAAGGAGCCUGGAUCCCAGAUAAUUUUGUGGGUCCCAUAGUCCUGAAUUGCCUGCCCAGGCUUUAACAUGAAAGAGAACAAUUUCUCUAUUUCAUUUAAACCACAGUUAUUACAGGGUCUCUUUCAACAGCCAAACCUAUUACCUAACUAACACAAGUCAUGACCAGGUAGUCUUGCUAACAGAAUAUCUCAUAUUCAAUUAAGUGUUUUAAAUAUAUACCAUUGUUACUGCACCUGAACAACCGAAAACUUCUGUGAGAAGACCAAAAAUCUAUACUUAGUAGAAAUUUUCCUUCUUAAUUUUAGCAUCUACAGAAAUGUGCCCCAUAUUUUGUCCUGUGAAUGACUUUCAAAAGUUCAGACUUGUGUAAUGCCCUAUAAGUUGAACCAAAUAUUAAUUUCUUUGCAAUAUAUAAAGAUUUUAUUUAACAUAGUGUAAUAUAAAGAUAAUAUAUGUCUAAUGUAGUAGAUGUCAAGUACAGUAUGUGUUUGGUAUUUAGACCUUAUAAAAAAAAUUUUUCUAGCUCUUGUCUACCAUGUAGGUAACAUAUUCCCAUUUUAUAAAUAAAGCAAUUCCAGAACAUG